UAUCUCUGUAGAGUCUGCAUAUCAAUAAGCGGAGGAAAAGAAACUAACAAGGAUUCCCUUAGUAACGGCGAGUGAAGCGGGAAGAGCUCAAAUUUGAAAUCUUCAAGGUUUGACCUUGACGAAUUGUAGUUUAUAGAAGUGUUUUCUGUUGGAGUUUUGGUAAAAGUUCUUUGGAAUAGGACAUCAUAGAGGGUGAGAAUCCCGUAUUUGACCAUGACUUUCCAGCUGUGUGAUACACUUUCAAAGAGUCGGAUUGUUUGGGAAUGCAGUCCAAAAUGGGUGGUAAAUUUCAUCUAAAGCUAAAUAUUGGCGAGAGACCGAUAGCGAACAAGUACCGUGAGGGAAAGAUGAAAAGAACUUUGAAAAGAGAGUUAAACAGUACGUGAAAUUGUCAAAAGGGAAGCGUUUGACACCAGUGUUGUUUUCUCGAAAAUCAAUUUAAUGAGUUCUUGUUUUUAAGUUAUUGUGACUUUAUCAGCGCAUUUCUUAUUUUACUUGACUCAUUGAAUGCACUUUUCGUUUAACAAGUCAACAUCAAUUUCUUUGGUGGUAAAAAGUUUAAAGGAAGGUGGCUUGGACUUCGGUUCAAGUGUUUAUAGCCUUUUUUCUAUGCCAUCGGAGAGAUUGAGGUCUGCAGCGUAGAUCCUUCGGGGUUAGAUACCUUUGUGCUAAGUUAUAGUUUUUUAUAGACAACUUGUUGACUAUAAUUAACCCUGUAAUUUACUCGCUUAGGCUAUUUUACCUACGCUUAGGAUGUUGAGUCAUCACACAUCUCU
rnacentral:rRNA from 1 species